rnacentral:sRNA from 1 species
CUACCUUCUGAAAAAACUCCGUAACAUCCACCGCCCCAUCGAUAUGAUAAUUCCCACCGAUAAUGAAAUCCAACUGAUACCGGAACAAUAUAUCGGAAACCUCACCUUGCAUCACAAGCCCCUUCUCCGCACCGGUGGUAUGUAGAAGUACGUGCGCAAGCCUAGAGCUACCCAUAUACCCUCCGAACUUAAAAUCGAGACCCAACGCCGCCCCAACGCGCUUUAGGCGCAUCUGCGCCGCCUCGGUCAUUUUGGGCCCCAUUUUCCGGAGCAUCCGGUCUGGAUAUUAUAUUGUGUUGUGAAUAAUGAGGGAAUCUUUCGUGCGGGGAAUUUGAGUGCAUUGUUUAUAAAUGAAAGAGAAGGGAGGACGGGGCGGCGGGAGCUGGCGGAUAUCUUACCGUGUAUAAUUAUGCUCUCGCUGGGGGGUUCUUGGUCUAUGAAGUAAGGCUUCCAUGAUAGUUGGAAUUUAUCUUUGGAGCUCCCUGGGUAUGUCUUUUGGUAGAGGGAAAUGGCCUUUUGGAGGUCGCGGUAGCCGAUGAAGCACUAUUUUAUUUGCAUAUGAGUAAAUAACUGAAAAGUUCGGUCCAGUGUUUUUUUGUGGAAGGGGGACAGACAGCGUGCUCACCCAGGGACAUAUCGCGUCUGAAAUGAUAUCGAUUUUAAUCACUGCCAUUGCUUGGUUAUGCGAGGAGAAUACGAGUUAUUUCCCGUGCUUCUCAGGGAUUUCUGGUAGUCUCUAUGCUCUGUUCUUUGCGUCCUCCCCUUUGCUGCAAUACUUCCUAGCUCAUGGAGACAGAAGUCUGAAUUGGGCUUAACGGUUUUAUUAAACAAGAGACGAUUUGAUGGAGGUGGAAGGUUAGUACUUGUUACUUCUCUCCAGCGUGGCCCUCCAUAUCUAAAUAACUAGUUAGGGGUUGGUUAAGUGGAACUAGUGGACUAUAAGGGGCCAACACCAUUCUUUAUUUAUUGGAGGAACAGCUCCGGACGCAGAAGUGACAACUAACUAGCUGGCAACUGGUGAGUUCUUUUGCGCCAGCAACCUAGAAGACAUCCAUAGCUCAUCAUUGUCGCCCUUUGAGUCCUAAGGGUUUUAUGUCUGCUCGGAUAUUCUUCCAGUCCUUCCUCUGCUGGCCAAACAACCCUCCCAGAUUUCUUUGAUUCCAAAGACGAUAUCUGAGUUCAUUUAACUAUCCAGCGGGCGCAGCACUGCUUUAAUAGGUGUGGUCACGAGCAUUCGGGACUGCCAGCGUACGCAGUAGUGUUAGUUUAUAGGCUUGAUUUCAAA